UUGCCACAGUAGUACUCUUGAGAAAUUGUGUAAAAAUGGAGUGUAAAAAUCCUCCUCACUUUGUUACAGAACUGGUUUAGAUCAGGGGUUUGACGUCACGGCUGCGUUGUCAUGGGGGCAUUGGGUUUGUUAUUGCAGCUUGACCUGACCGCCCAGAGAGUGGCACAGCAGCAUCACCAAUCUCCAUUUGAUCUGCUUAUCAAGUUUAUUUAGUAAAUGACUCUGUACAUGAAGUUGCUUUACAUGGUUUAGAUUUACAGGACGUAUAACAGUGUGUUUUACACAGAGGAGAAUAUGUCAUUGAGAAAGGAGAACUGGUGCUGAACAGUUAAAGUAGGAGGUGCAAUAUAAGACUGGUCAUUAUCAACUAGUAGUGGUAGUAAGGUGACUGGUUUGGGAAAGUUACAACAACAGGAAUGGAGUGACACUAGUCAGAUGGAAUCAAGAUUCCUGGAACCGAGAAUGAGACGACUUGUGGGGGAUUCACAGGGCUUCUUGUGGUGAUACCAAGCAACUAACAUCAGGCAGAAGCUACAUCGAUGGAAUUGGGAAGAUGGACAUUCAACAGGGAUGGAGAGAAGAUGGCUACUGGAUGUUCUCUGGACUGGAUCCUGGAUCAGCAGCAGCAGUGGAAGUUCCAUUUUGGAUCUGGCUAUCAUCAAUAUCAUUUAUUAAUAUCACAAUACAGACCUUUAGACUAAUGUGAGGAGUGUUGUCCAGUGUUCCUCAGCCCCUUCCGGACAGGCACAUAAUGGGACACUUCAUGUUUCCUCAGCCCCCUUCUGGACAGGUAUAUAAUGGGACACUUCACAUUUCCUCAGCCCCUUCUGGACAGGUACAUAAUGGGACACUUCACAUUUCCUCAGCCCCUUCUGGACAGGUACAUAAUGGGACACUUCACAUUUCCUCAGCCCCUUCUGGACAGGUACAUAAUGGGACUGUCCACUUUUCAUCACAUCCUCCAUGGAAAGUUACAGUCCACUUUAACCGCCAACACCCCUUGCCCCCAUAACGUACAUGGGACAGUCUCACAUUUCUUCUGGAAUAAGACAUGACUGUCAUCCACUCCAGUUCACCCAAUGGGAUUCCAACAGAAUGACUUUUAUUCUACUGCACAUGUCUAAAGGACUGGCUUUCUGUUUAAAACAUCUAUGACAUCACACUGAGCUGCUGAUGUAUUUAUUAAACAUGAUACAUGUACUUCUAUUUUCUAAGUCACUAUAUUAUGCUGUUAUUGAAACUUGAAGAAUGCUGAACAGGUCCGUUGAAGAUUUCUGAGGGCACUUCAAUAUGCCACUAUUUCAACAACAUAUAAUAAGCCUGUAAAUUGAGACAUGUUUACCUUCUCAUCGUAUCAAAUGUGACAAUAGGACAGUACAUUUCAGCACUUGCCACUUGUCAGGUCGCUAUUGUAAACAAUGAUUUGUCUCACCUGGAUAAUUAAAUGUUAGAUUAAACAAAUAAUACAUUGUUCCUCGCCGGCUUUGCAAACCAGUUGACAUCUCUAUCCAAACAGCUUCUAUCCAAACAGUAAAUGUUGACAUGUAUUAAUUACUGCUGUCAGAGUGUCUUAUCUUCUCAUCUAUGGGAGUUUUAUAGAUCAGUAAGUCAUGU